AACGAACGCUGGCGGCAUGCCUAACACAUGCAGGUCGAACGAGACCUUCGGGUCUAGUGGCGCACGGGUGCGUAACGCGUGGGAACCUGCCUUUAGGUUCGGAAUAACUCAGAGAAAUUUGAGCUAAUACCGGAUGAUGUCUUCGGACCAAAGAUUUAUCGCCUUUAGAUGGGCCCGCGUUGGAUUAGCUAGUUGGUGGGGUAAAGGCCUACCAAGGCGACGAUCCAUAGCUGGUCUGAGAGGAUGAUCAGCCACACUGGGACUGAGACACGGCCCAGACUCCUACGGGAGGCAGCAGUGGGGAAUAUUGGACAAUGGGCGAAAGCCUGAUCCAGCAAUGCCGCGUGAGUGAUGAAGGCCUUAGGGUUGUAAAGCUCUUUUACCCGAGAUGAUAAUGACAGUAGCGGGAGAAUAAGCUCCGGCUAACUCCGUG
rnacentral:rRNA from 1 species